ACUACUGAAGAAAAGUAGAAAUACAAAAAAUGUGGCAAAACUUUUAAUCAAUGCUCAUAUCUUUUUGCAUGUGAUAGCAUUUAUACAUGAGAAUAAUUGCACAAAUAUAAAAAUACAAAAGCCAUUAAUUUCUACUCACAUCUUACCAGAUAUCAGAAUUUAUGGUUAACAAAAGCAUUAUAAAUGUAAUUUCUGUUGAAAGACCUUUUAGAAAAUAUAGGCCAUUAAAGCGAAGAAGAGUAUUCUUAAGACAGACAAUACAAAUAUAAAGAGGGUGUAGUACCUGUACUUGUAUCCUGGAUCUUACUGUACACAUUUUGUACUAGCGGAAGACUCAGAAGCAGUUGCUCAAACUUUGUUCAACAUCAGAGAAUUUACAUUGGAGCGAAAUACGACAAAUGUAAUAAAUGUGGAAAAACAUCUGUUCAAAAACUGCAGGUUAAGAAACACUAGAGAGUUUAUAUUAGAAGAGAAUUUGUAGAUGCAAUAAAUGUGGAGAAAUAUUUAGGCUAAAAUUAAGCCUAUGUAAACAUCAGAGGAUUUACUGGAG
rnacentral:lncRNA from 1 species